UCCCUCGUGGCGCAAUUGGCUAGCGCGUUCGACUGUUACUUGAUUCAUCUGAUGAUUCGCAGACGAUCGAGAGGUUGGUGGUUCGAGCCCACCCGAGGGAG